UCUGGUUUCUAGUGGCGGACGGGUGAGUAACGCGUGGGUAACCUGCCCUAUACAGGGGGAUAACAACCAGAAAUGGUUGCUAAUACCGCAUAAGCGCACAGGACCGCAUGGUCCGGUGUGAAAAACUCCGGUGGUAUAGGAUGGACCCGCGUCUGAUUAGGUAGUUGGUGGGGUAACGGCCUACCAAGCCGACGAUCAGUAGCCGACCUGAGAGGGUGACCGGCUACAUUGGGACUGAGACACGGCCCAA
rnacentral:rRNA from 1 species